AUAAAAAGCAAUUAAAAAUGAAAAGUUAGUAAUUAUAUAUAUACAAGCUAAUUUAGGCCUAUUUUGCAAAAAUUUAGAAUAAAAAGCAAUUAAGAGUUAUUUUAUAAUUAUUAAAAAAAAUUAGUUAUUAGUAAUUUAAAGUUUAUAGUUAGUUAUUUAAAAAGCAAGUAAGAGGUAUCACAGUUAUUUAUAUCUAAACAUUUUCUUUGGGUGUUUGUAGUGUAAUUCAAAAAUUUUGUUUUGAUAUAUGACGAAAGGGCUAAGAAUAUUUCAUUACCCUUUGAGGAAAAUAUUGUUGUUAGACUCAUGGGAGAUUUGAAUGGAUCUGCUAUAGCGGUUAAAAUGGAAUCCAGGUAUAUAUUAACAGCAAGAUAAAACACGCAAAGCAAUAAUGAACUUUUGUUCAUAACUUGCAUAAAAAGGGCCGAAAUCGCAGUAUGCACAGACGUUCCAUGAGCAAAGGAAGACAAACUUGACAUAAGUGAUCUGAGCAAAUAUGAAAUCAUUGAUCAUCCUGGUGCUUCUUGCACUUUUUUCAAUUGCUUAUGGCAAAGCUGUGAAAUCAAGGGAUGCCCGCUACUUUGGAAGGAUUCCCCGAUACCACUUAAAAGAACCCCGCCACUACGGAAAGGAUCCCCGCUACUAUGGAGAGGAUGCCGAUUUCUACCAUGAAAAGGAUCCCCGAUACCACGAAAAGGAUCCACGCUACUACGGAGAGGAUGCCGAUUUCUACUUUGAAAAGGAUCCCCGACAGUACAGAAAGGAUGCUUUUUCGGUUGGGAUUAGAGAGUAGCUUAUAAACAUGGAACUGACUUUUUCAUGCCAUUACUAGUGCUAUUAGUAAUUUUGAUGAAUUGAUAUAGCAAUGAACUGAGAAUCAUGACUUCA